AUUGAACGCUGGCGGCAGGCCUAACACAUGCAAGUCGAACGAGUGGCGGACGGGUGAGUAAUGUAUGGGAAACUGCCUGAUGGAGGGGGAUAACUACUGGAAACGGUAGCUAAUACCGCAUACCAUCAGAGCUGCCCAUAUGGGAUUAGCUAGUUGGUGGGGUAAAGGCUCACCAAGGCGACGAUCCCUAGCUGGUCUGAGAGGAUGACCAGCCACACUGGAACUGAGACACGGUCCAGACGCCUACGGGAGGCAGCAGUGGGGAAUAUUGGACAAUGGGCGAAAGCCUGAUGCAGCCAUGCCGCGUGUAGGAAGAAGGCCUUCGGGUUGUAAAGUACUUUCAGCGGGGAGGCGUUACCCGCAGAAGAAGCACCGGCUAACUCCGUGCCAGCAGCCGCGGUAAUAC
rnacentral:rRNA from 1 species